AAAUAAAGAAUUUAUCUACGUUUGUAUACUUUGUGUCCAGUCCUGAAUGGUUCUUUAAAUUUCAUUUUCAGUCUGACACAGAACAUACAGGCUAGUUACUUACAAAGACA
ensembl:miRNA gga-mir-6693 gga-mir-6693